UGAUCUUAACAAAAUAUAGAAGGGACCAAAGGAGGUCAAAGUGUGGGAUCUGAACACUAUACGGUGAUCCAGGAUUUCCUUUUAUUUACUGCUCGCACCUUUUCAAUCUCAAGUGGAUUUUGGCUGUCUCAAGUGGCGCUACCCAAUGGCUGGGGAGGAGUCUGUAAUCCACUGAGCCGAGACACUUCGCCAUCAGCGGAUAUCUUUUAUUACAAUUUAGCACACGUAGGAAAUCCCAAAAUACCAUUGGUGAAUUAAAUGAAGUUUAGACAGAAUGCCAGAAAGACGCAUAGCAUCAGGGUAGGUAGGAAUCCCACAUUUAUCUCAAAAGGCUUUUUAUCGUGUGCCAUCUCUUACCAUGGCACCGACCUGUGCUUUUCUACAUUAAUGACGUCCUGCAGAGCUCCUCUGCUUUUGGUGCUGAAGGAGAAUAAUUUGUGAUGGUCUUUCAUGGAGAAGUGGAGCAAAAGCCACGGCUGAUUUCAUCAAUGUGAUGGUGUGACGAGGAAAGUAAUGCUCACAUGCAGGAUGACACGAGCACAAGGGCAGAGCUGCAUGGAAUCACCUGUGGGACCACAGCCUGCAUUAAACACUCUACGUCAAGAUGCAAAGCAAAACAGCUGGCAAGAGGGAGGAAAGCUGUAAUUACAGCCAACAAAUGACUCCUGAGCCAACACCUACUGUUGAGGCCCUGCUCUUGAAACAGAAGCCAGGAACAGGAGCUUUUUCCCCUCUAGGUGUAGUGCCUCAAAGCCUGAGGCUUUGCCCUAGAAGGUCACAGCUGUGGGUUGUCUCCAGAAUGGCAUCCAAAGCAGGUGGAACAGGUCCCCUGAUCUGGUUCACAGCAUGGCCCUGCGAAGAGGUGGAGUUGGGAGAAUUGAGGAGUGGUGCAGUAUUGCACGAGGACAAAAAAGGUGGAACUGGUUGUUGCGAUGUUUCUGAGGCCACAGGAUCAGAAAACUGUGGCCUUUCUGCUACCGGCCUGAGAUGAGUCUUCCCCCAAUUUCUAGCAAGUAACAGGCUUGUAAAUAUAUCACAGCACAAUAAAUCCGCAUGAGUUUUCAAAUCCCAUCUGACCUCCCUCUUCUGUGUUAUUUAACGUCUUGUUUGCAAAUUAUUUUAUCAAACACUUUAAACAAUUUCAGAAGUACAGUCUUGCUUUAAAAAAAAAAUCUGUGUAGGACUUAGUUACGAGCUGUUCCUGUUCACACAGCAAAGCCAACCAGCGUUAGGAACAGCGAGAAAUACUUGGACAAUAACAUGGACAGCUGAAGCGUGAAGGAAAAAUUGGUACCUGCAAAGCAUCAGCCCAGCUAUACGUGUGUUGCUUUUGUUUAAAAAUCUGACCUGUAGAUAUGCAAUGAUUGAGCAAAGAGCCCAGAAAUGAAAUAUAUGACUGUUCUUCAUACAAGGCGGUUCUAGCAUACACUCAGUAUAUCGGUAGUGAAUGCUGAAAAAGACUGGGUGUAGCACAGUGAGUGUUAGUCAUGGCCUGGAAACAGGGUAGGAAAACAAUUUAAGCUGAAUAGUUACUCAGCUAAUUGCUUUGAGUAAGUCUCAGAUUUACACACCCUAGAACCCAAACUCAAAAUUUUUACUUGAUAGUAUGAGACAAAUACUUGUCCUUUCUCC